rnacentral:misc_RNA from 1 species
CAAAAAAAAGGUAAAUAAAUAAAAAUAAAGUCAUUGUACAAAAAUUUAUUUUAAAAAAUUUGGCCUACUUACAUUAUUAAUUUCUUAGUUACAUAAAUUAUUCGAUGGUAUGAUUUUUAUAUAUCAUUAUACAAAAUAUAAAUUCUUAUGACUUAGAUGUACAAAUGACAUGAAUAUAUUAUGAUUAAACGGUAAAAAAUGCAUCACUUCACUAUGAAGUGCCACAAUUAUAAUUUCGACGUUGAACAUAUAAAAAAAAAAAAAAAAAAAAAAAAAAAAUUAUAAACAUGCGCGUAUUGUGUAUAUAUAUAAUAAAUUAUAUGUAACUUGCGUCAUAUUUAAUAUGAAACACUCCC